rnacentral:rRNA from 1 species
UACGUAGGGUCCGAGCGUUGUCCGGAAUUAUUGGGCGUAAAGAGCUCGUAGGCGGUCUGUCGCGUCUGCUGUGAAAACUCAGGGCUUAACCCUGAGCUUGCAGUGGGUACGGGCAGACUAGAGUGCGGUAGGGGAGACUGGAAUUCCUGGUGUAGCGGUGAAAUGCGUAGAUAUCUGGAGGAACACCGGUGGCGAAGGCGGCAUCCUGGACCGACACUGACGCUGAGGAGCGAAAGCCAGGGGAGCAAACGGG